GAAAUGUGGCUUGGUGUUGAGCUGGAUGAGAGUACAAGGAUCUUCUGAAAAAUUUCAAGGAGGAUAUAAAUGCUAUAGAAAUGGAGGAAGGCAAAAGAGACUUGAUAUCCUGAGAGAUCAGCAAAUUCAGUGACACACACAAGAUAUUUGUGGCAAGUUCUCCUGCCCUGUUUCUCAUUUCAAGAUGUUACCAAGAUGUGGUCCUUAUUUUUGAUGAAGAUGAAGAGACAAUGUUUUCCUACAUAUCUCUGACUGGGAUCAAAUUCACUGUUCUCCUAAACACAAAUAAUAUCAAUCCCUCCCUUUAGCCUCCAUCCAAGUUAUUCCUCUUCAUUCUUAUUCUCAUUUCCACAUCUCUGCUCCCAGUUUUGGUAUUACAACCUUGUAUACCAAAACAUCUGAACGGCACUUCCAGGAAACAUGCCAGGUUUUCUCAACCUUAUCUCUCCACAUCUCCAAAUCUCACCCUCUCUCCGUCCCUCCUCACACUGCCAUUCUUCUUUCCCCUGAAACCUCUCCUUCUUCCUUUUAAUGUCUCUCCCCUCUUUUAAUUUUCCUUCUUCCUCUCUCGUUUGCACAUCUAUAGUAGAGGCAGAAGAACCUCAUUCCCAAUAUCUCCAGUUCCCAACAUUGGGAUUACAAGAAAGUGCCCAGAAAUGAACAAGUACCAAUCCUACUACUUUGCCAGGGUC